rnacentral:rRNA from 1 species
CCUACGGGAGGCAGCAGUGAGGAAUAUUGGUCAAUGGACGAGAGUCUGAACCAGCCAAGUAGCGUGAAGGAUGACUGCCCUAUGGGUUGUAAACUUCUUUUAUAUGGGAAUAAAAUGUUCCACGUGUGGGAUUUUGUAUGUACCAUAUGAAUAAGGAUCGGCUAACUCCGUGCCAGCAGCCGCGGUAAUACGGAGGAUCCGAGCGUUAUCCGGAUUUAUUGGGUUUAAAGGGAGCGUGGGUGGAUUGUUAAGUCAGUUGUGAAAGUUUGCGGCUCAACCGUAAAAUUGCAGUUGAAACUGGCAGUCUUGAGUACAGUAGAGGUGGGCGGAAUUCGUGGUGUAGCGGUGAAAUGCUUAGAUAUCACGAAGAACUCCGAUUGCGAAGGCAGUUCACUGGACUGCAACUGACACUGAGGCUCGAAAGUGUGGGUAUCAAACAGGAUUAGAUACCCCUGUAGUC